rnacentral:rRNA from 1 species
AUUCCAAGUUUUCUAUCCCUGGCUGCGAAAAUAGCAUAUCAAUAAGCGGAGGAAAAGAAACCAACAGGGAUUGCCCUAGUAACGGCGAGUGAAGCGGCAACAGCUCAAAUUUGAAAUCUGGCUCUUUCAGAGUCCGAGUUGUAAUUUGCAGAGGGCGCUUUGGCUUUGGCAGCGGUCCAAGUUCCUUGGAACAGGACGUCACAGAGGGUGAGAAUCCCGUACGUGGUCGCUAGCUAUUGCCGUGUAAAGCCCCUUCGACGAGUCGAGUUGUUUGGGAAUGCAGCUCUAAAUGGGAGGUAAAUUUCUUCUAAAGCUAAAUAUUGGCCAGAGACCGAUAGCGCACAAGUAGAGUGAUCGAAAGAUGAAAAGCACUUUGGAAAGAGAGUCAAACAGCACGUGAAAUUGUUGAAAGGGAAGCGCUUGCAGCCAGACUUGCUUGCAGUUGCUCAUCCGGGCUUUUGCCCGGUGCACUCUUCUGCAGGCAGGCCAGCAUCAGUUUGGGCGGUGGGAUAAAGGUCUCUGACACGUUCCUUCCUUCGGGUUGGCCAUAUAGGGGAGACGUCAUACCACCAGCCUGGACUGAGGUCCGCGCAUCUGCUAGGAUGCUGGCGUAAUGGCUGUAAGCGGCCCGUCUUGAAACACGGACCAAGGAGUCUAACAUCUAUGCGAGUGUUUGGGUGUCAAGCCCGAGCGCGUAAUGAAAGUGAACGGAGGUGGGAACCCGCAAGGGUGCACCAUCGACCGAUCCUGAAGUUUACGGAAGGAUUUGAGUAAGAGCAUGGCUGUUGGGACCCGAAAGAUGGUGAACUAUGCUUGAAUAGGGUGAAGCCAGAGGAAACUCUGGUGGAGGCUCGCAGCGGUUCUGACGUGCAAAUCGAUCGUCAAAUUUGGGCAUAGGGGCGAAAGACUAAUCGAACUUCAUCCCAG